AUUGAACGCUGGCUGCAGGCCUAAAACAUGCAAGUCGAACGAGUGGCGGACGGGUGAGUAAUGUCUGGGAAACUGCCCGAUGGAGGGGGAUAACUACUGGAAACGUUAGCUAAUACCGCAUACCAUCGGAUGUGCCCAGAUGGGAUUAGCUAGUAGGUGGGGUAAUGGCUCACCUAGGCGACGAGCCCUAGCUGGUCUGAGAGGAUGACCAGCCACACUGGAACUGAGACACGGGCCAGACUCCUACGGGAGGCAGCAGUGGGGAAUAUUGCACAAUGGGCGCAAGCCUGAUGCAGCCAUGCCGCGUGUAUGAAGAAGGCCUUCGGGUUGUAAAGUACUGUCAGCGAGGAGGCGUUACUCGAAGAAGAAGCACCGGCUAACUCCGUGCCAGCAGCCGCGGUAAUAC
rnacentral:rRNA from 1 species